rnacentral:rRNA from 1 species
AAAUUGAAGAGUUUGAUCAUGGCUCAGAUUGAACGCUGGCGGCAGGCCUAACACAUGCAAGUCGAACGGUAGCACAGAGAGCUUGCUCUCGGGUGACGAGUGGCGGACGGGUGAGUAAUGUCUGGGAAACUGCCCGAUGGAGGGGGAUAACUACUGGAAACGGUAGCUAAUACCGCAUAACGUCGCAAGACCAAAGUGGGGGACCUUCGGGCCUCACACCAUCGGAUGUGCCCAGAUGGGAUUAGCUAGUAGGUGGGGUAACGGCUCACCUAGGCGACGAUCCCUAGCUGGUCUGAGAGGAUGACCAGCCACACUGGAACUGAGACACGGUCCAGACUCCUACGGGAGGCAGCAGUGGGGAAUAUUGCACAAUGGGCGCAAGCCUGAUGCAGCCAUGCCGCGUGUAUGAAGAAGGCCUUCGGGUUGUAAAGUACUUUCAGCGAGGAGGAAGGCGUUGUGGUUAAUAACCACAGCGAUUGACGUUACUCGCAGAAGAAGCACCGGCUAACUCCGUGCCAGCAGCCGCGGUAAUACGGAGGGUGCAAGCGUUAAUCGGAAUUACUGGGCGUAAAGCGCACGCAGGCGGUUUGUUAAGUCAGAUGUGAAAUCCCCGGGCUCAACCUGGGAACUGCAUUUGAAACUGGCAAGCUUGAGUCUCGUAGAGGGGGGUAGAAUUCCAGGUGUAGCGGUGAAAUGCGUAGAGAUCUGGAGGAAUACCGGUGGCGAAGGCGGCCCCCUGGACAAAGACUGACGCUCAGGUGCGAAAGCGUGGGGAGCAAACAGGAUUAGAUACCCUGGUAGUCCACGCCGUAAACGAUGUCUACUUGGAGGUUGUGCCCUUGAGGCGUGGCUUCCGGAGCUAACGCGUUAAGUAGACCGCCUGGGGAGUACGGCCGCAAGGUUAAAACUCAAAUGAAUUGACGGGGGCCCGCACAAGCGGUGGAGCAUGUGGUUUAAUUCGAUGCAACGCGAAGAACCUUACCUGGUCUUGACAUCCACGGAAGUUUUCAGAGAUGAGAAUGUGCCUUCGGGAACCGUGAGACAGGUGCUGCAUGGCUGUCGU